rnacentral:hammerhead_ribozyme from 1 species
ACCAAUUGACGAGUCCCAAAAUAGGACGAAACACGCGUCCUGGAU